GUCUUCGUGGAGUAAAAAGGCAACUCGGUCCCAUUCAAUAGCUCGAUGCCAGCUUUGUCUGAAUGCAGGGAAUGCCGGCGGUUCGAAUCCGCCCGAAGACA